UCAUUGUCUGUUUAAGGUGGGGGGAAACAUCCUCACACACAUGGCAGAUGGGUGUGGGAACAAGGAGAAGUGGACACACUGAAUGCUUUCUCCGGUGAAAUUCUCACCACUGGCUUCUUGCUCCUGGUAAUAAACUCUUUACCUUCUUUCAUUUCCCUGAAGCAGGUGAUGAACUAACGCACAGCUUGCACCUGCAGUCAGCGCUUCUCUCCAGGGUGUGUCAGGAGCUUCAGGUACCAGGACACGAUUCACAAGCCCAAGAAACAACGAGGGCGCAGUGAGGAGGAAGCUGUGGAUGCAGGUGUUUAAGUGAAAACCCGUGAAGAGAAUCUUGCCGACCGGAAGAUCUUUGUGUGUGGUGUUCGUGCAAGGUCACUGGUACUGCUCUUGGUACAUGAUAGAUGCUCAGGAGAUGGGAUCUUCACUUUCGUCCACUGUGAAAGAAAUGUGAAAGUUGCCAGGUUCAAAAUGGAGUCAUCUGUGUCAAUCCUAUCAAAAAAAAUAGUAAAGGAAGCUGGGAGAUUAUGAAGAAAGGGCUCCUACUCAUGAUUGCCUGAUAGUAAGCAUCACAAAAGACUGCCAGGACCACGAACUUAUGCAGAGGCCACUACAGCCUCGUACCAGAAGUACCUCUGCUGAGUCUGCCCAGUAACCGCUCCUACGUGCAGUGCUGUAAUGUAUAAUAGAACACAAACUCCAGGACGGUACUGAAUGGUACAAUGAGCAAAAACGACCGCACUGUACUGUGGAAGAAGCCACAAUGUGCUGUACUCUGAGGCUGCACUACCCCUCACAUUCCUGUAUCCCAAGUGUGAAUGCGGGCUUCGAGUGUGAACAGUCGUUAAACAGGUAGGUUGUGAAAUAAGGAAUGUCUGUAUAAUUCAUGAAACCUGCAGAAGAGAUCAGGUUCUUGUUAAAUUAACAAGCCAAAAUUAUGAACACACAUACACAUAAAUACAUGAUCACUAUUUUAUACACAUGCACAUAAAAUGUAUAUAUAUAUACUAUGUUGAAAAACUAUGGUGAACUUUUUAAAAAAUUUAUUAUAUUAAAAAACACGUUGCCACUAGUGCCCCUCAAAAUACAUCCACCCGCUAAUCCCAACCCUACUUCACACACACUGAUCCCAUUCUUGCCACUUUCUGAAGCAGUUCUGGCAGUCCUCUUUCAUUACAGUCUUUAGUGGUGCUAUCUUGGCUCCCUUGGUAUCUGGAAUAUACUAAAAAUGUUCACUUUUAGCAGUCAUUUUGUCUUGGGAAGAGUCAGAAUCAUACCAUGCCAGAUCCAGUGAACAAGCGGAUGAAGGUGCCGAGCUGUUUUCCACUCCUGCCCUUCCAUGGAUGCCACUUGGCGGCAGCACUCACCGUAUUUUUUGUCAUACUUGGUAAAGACACUCAUGAAAAAGGAGUUCCAGAACCGCUUCGGAAAGUGGCAAGAAGAAGGAGAUAAAUGUGUUGGAAAUAAGGGGCUGUAUUCUGAGAGGGAUUAACGGCAAAGUACCUUUUACUAUGAUAAUUUUUUUUGUUGUUUUUUUUUGUUGUUUUUUUU